UACAUAUUCAUCAUCCUCUUGAUCUCAUCUAUCUUUCUAUCAAAGCCAACUAUUAAGAGGAGUUAAUUUUAAAAAUGGGUCAUUUUCUUAAAAGCGUUUUCCGGCUAUGACCACCACAAACUUUCCGGCCACCACCACCACCAAAAAAUGUGCAGUUUCACCACUGAUUCUUUGUAAGGUUGUUGGUGUUAAAUUUAUGCCUUUUUGAAUUCUUCUCAAAUCUUUUUCCUACUACAAACUUGUGAAAUUCAAAGGAAUUAGAUAGUUGUGGAGUUGACAGCACACCUUUGAUUAUUUCUGUUUUGGAAACAAGCUUGUUGCUGGUUUGGAAAAUUUAGAAAAUUCAGAUUAUGCGGCUGAGCCGCCUGUUCAGAUGGUGGUGGAGGGUUUUGUUGAUUAAAAUGAAAUUUUCUUAGGAUCAAACAAUUGAUAAUAAUAAGAUGUUU
rnacentral:lncRNA from 1 species